rfam:Corynebacterium lipophiloflavum DSM 44291 genomic scaffold SCAFFOLD8, whole genome shotgun sequence.
GGGGUUGAUUUUUGGUUUCGACUUCAUUGACCAAGCCAGGGGAAGCGUGCCGGUGCAGGCUGGAGACCACCGUGAGCGUCGCAGCAAACAAUAAACGCAGAGAAGACCUCUCAGCGUGACUACGCCCUCGCUGCCUAAGAGCUAGCGACUAGCGUGUCUGUCAGGCCGGGCCCGUUCCCAGCCCGGUACCUGGCAUCGACUUAGGGAACUUGCCCAAGGGCCGUGCCAGUGCGGCCCGCGGGGACUUUUCACACUGGCUGGGCCCGUCAACCGGACAUGUUCGCCUGAUCCGGUGGGUCGAGCAGAGACGAUGCGCGAACUGCGCACGGAGAAGCCCUGGCGAGGUGAUGAAGGACCCGGGUUCGAUUCCCGGCAGCUCCACUA